CGUCAGCAAUGCAUGCACCAGAACUCCUAUUAAACAGCCUCAGGGUAAACACAAUUUCAAAAAUAACAAUACACUGUUUGGUAACAGUUUCAGCUACUCUAUACCUCACAACAUUCCACCAGUUCAGAAGGAAGUCAAAAUACAAUUGGGAACCAAUACAAUGAACCAAUUUUAGAACAAAACAAGUUUUCUUUUUUUUUUUUUUU
rnacentral:misc_RNA from 1 species